UUGAAUUCUCUUCUCUUCUUUCAUCUUUAAUUCAAAACCCUAUAGUGAAGAUAGUACAUGUCCACACAUAUCAAGUCAAAGAUUGUGAAGAAUCCCAUCACCUAAUGGAGAUUGAGGUUUAGAUCUUAGCAAUACUGUGCAAUAGAAAGGAACGAGAGUUAGAGAUCUGAAUGGAAAGAGCCAUUAUAUUCAGCUGCAACCAAUAUGAACCCUGGUGAGUUUUGGGGAAGUGAAUAUCGUAUCGGCUAAGAUCUUCUUCAACUUCUGUAAGAGCAUCAUCCUCACAUCUGUGCUAGUCCGUCUUUAUCUAGCGAUAACCUCUCCAAUUCAAGUUUUGAUUAUUGGGAGAUGAGUAGCGAAUAUACACCUUCCCCAAAUUCUAAAGUGCAACACUAUUUUUACCGCGACAAAAUCAAAGGUCAAGGCUAUAGACGAUCAUCUAGGAGCUUAGGAUAGGGUGGAUGUGUUGGGAUUUUAUGUCCUAAAUAAAUCCCAUUUCAAUACAAUCUGAUUUGUUAUCAAUAGAAGAUUAUAAGUCAUUUAUGAUUA